AAAUCCCAAGGGUACGCUUGGGGAGUGGACGUAAGUGCUAAGGAGAGCACCGAACCACUAUAAAUUGUUGUGUUUGUGUUGUGAUUGUGCUUUAGUUUUCUCUUGCUUUAUCUUCUAUUAUUGCAUUAGCUUAGCUCACUCAAAUAGCCUAAGAAAGCAUCCACCGCACACAACUAAGAAAGUUUUUAAAGGCACCUAAAGUUUAAAAGAAACCAAUUCACCCCCCCCUCUUGGAUUGUCACCUUGGGCAACAUGUAUGAUUAUUAAUUUACUAUGAGAUAGUAAUGUCAUAUGCUUAGAGAAAUGCUGAAAUGUAUGAUUCAUAUAUGAUAUGUUAUGUAAUAAAAUAUCAUGAUAUGAAAUUUUCCAUAUGAAAAUAUGUUGAAGCAUGUUAAUUAAUUGCUUAUGAUUUAUACAUGCUAUGAGAUAGCCAUUAUGCAUAAUAGUUUAUUUUAGACAUGUUAAAUAUAUGUUACAGUUAAAAAAUGUGCUAGAGACUAGUAAGCCCUCAAU
rnacentral:lncRNA from 1 species